UUAACACAUGCAAGUCGAGGGGCAGCAUGGUUUUAGCUUGCUAAGACUGAUGGCGACCGGCGCACGGGUGAGUAACACGUAUCCAACCUGCCGUCUACUCUUGGACAGCCUUCUGAAAGGAAGAUUAAUACAAGAUGGCAUCAUGAGUCCGCAUGCUCACAUGAUUAAAGGUAUUCCGGUAGACGAUGGGGAUGCGUUCCAUUAGAUAGUAGGCGGGGUAACGGCCCACCUAGUCUUCGAUGGAUAGGGGUUCUGAGAGGAAGGUCCCCCACAUUGGAACUGAGACACGGUCCAAACUCCUACGGGAGGCAGCAGUGAGGAAUAUUGGUCAAUGGGCGAGAGCCUGAACCAGCCAAGUAGCGUGAAGGAUGACUGCCCUAUGGGUUGUAAACUUCUUUUAUAAAGGAAUAAAGUCGGGUAUGCAUACCCGUUUGCAUGUACUUUAUGAAUAAGGAUCGGCUAACUCCGUGCCAGCAGCCGCGGUAAUACGGAGGAUCCGAGCGUUAUCCGGAUUUAUUGGGUUUAAAGGGAGCGUAGAUGGAUGUUUAAGUCAGUUGUGAAAGUUUGCGGCUCAACCGUAAAAUUGCAGUUGAUACUGGAUAUCUUGAGUGCAGUUGAGGCAGGCGGAAUUCGUGGUGUAGCGGUGAAAUGCUUAGAUAUCACGAAGAACUCCGAUUGCGAAGGCAGCCUGCUAAGCUGCAACUGACAUUGAGGCUCGAAAGUGUGGGUAUCAAACAGGAUUAGAUACCCUGGUAGUCCACACGGUAAACGAUGAAUACUCGCUGUUUGCGAUAUACUGCAAGCGGCCAAGCGAAAGCGUUAAGUAUUCCACCUGGGGAGUACGCCGGCAACGGUGAAACUCAAAGGAAUUGACGGGGGCCCGCACAAGCGGAGGAACAUGUGGUUUAAUUCGAUGAUACGCGAGGAACCUUACCCGGGCUUAAAUUGCAGAUGAAUUACGGUGAAAGCCGUAAGCCGCAAGGCAUCUGUGAAGGUGCUGCAUGGUUGUCGUCAGCUCGUGCCGUGAGGUGUCGGCUUAAGUGCCAUAACGAGCGCAACCCUUGUUGUCAGUUACUAACAGGUUCCGCUGAGGACUCUGACAAGACUGCCAUCGUAAGAUGUGAGGAAGGUGGGGAUGACGUCAAAUCAGCACGGCCCUUACGUCCGGGGCUACACACGUGUUACAAUGGGGGGUACAGAGGGCCGCUACCACGCGAGUGGAUGCCAAUCCCCAAAACCUCUCUCAGUUCGGACUGGAGUCUGCAACCCGACUCCACGAAGCUGGAUUCGCUAGUAAUCGCGCAUCAGCCACGGCGCGGUGAAUACGUUCCCGGGCCUUGUACACACCGCCCGUCAAGCCAUGGGAGCCGGGGGUACCUGAAGUGCGUAACCGCGAGGAGCGCCCUAGGGUAAAACUGGUGACUGGGGCUAAG
rnacentral:rRNA from 1 species